AUGCUGAGAGGAUCCUACUGUACACACACAAGAGUAGUUCAGCAAACCAUGAAUCCACAGUCAAAGAAAACAGAGCAGUUGUUACAUAAUUAUAUUGUAGCCCUGUAUGUAUCAACCAAACCAGUUAAAAAAUGGGACACAAACAGACCAAACCUGUUUAGAACCUACUGCAACUUGAUUAAUCUGUACAAGAGGUGA